UACGUAGGGUGCGAGCGUUGUCCGGAAUUAUUGGGCGUAAAGGGCUCGUAGGCGGUUUGUCGCGUCGGGUGUGAAAACCCAGGGCUUAACCCUGGGCUGGCUUCCGAUACGGGCAGACUAGAGGUAUGCAGGGGAGAACGGAAUUCCUGGUGUAGCGGUGAAAUGCGCAGAUAUCAGGAGGAACACCGGUGGCGAAGGCGGUUCUCUGGGCAUUACCUGACGCUGAGGCGCGAAAGCGUGGGGAGCAAACAGG
rnacentral:rRNA from 1 species